ensembl:misc_RNA Metazoa_SRP Metazoan signal recognition particle RNA
ACCAGGCGUGGUGGUGCAUGCCUGUAGUCCCAGUUGUUCGGGAGGCUGAGACUAGAGGAUCUAUUGAGACCAGUAGUUCUGGGCUGUAGUGCACUACGCCAGUCGGGUGUCCGCACUAAGUUCAGCAUCAAUAUGGUGACCUCCUGGGAGCGGGGGACCACCAGCAGGUUGCCUAAGGAGGGGCGAACCAGCCCAGGUGGGAAAUGGAGCAGGUCAAAACUCCCAUGCUGAUUAGUAAUGGGAUCUCACCUGUGAAUAGCCACUGCACUCCAGCCUGGGCAACAUAGCGAGACCCCAUCUCUA